rnacentral:rRNA from 1 species
UACGUAGGGGGCUAGCGUUGUCCGGAAUCAUUGGGCGUAAAGAGCGUGUAGGCGGUCCGGUAAGUCCGCUGUGAAAGUCGGGGGCUCAACCCUCGAAUGCCGGUGGAUACUGUCGGGCUAGAGUGCGGAAGAGGCGAGUGGAAUUCCUGGUGUAGCGGUGAAAUGCGCAGAUAUCAGGAGGAACACCUAUUGCGAAGGCAGCUCGCUGGGACGUAACUGACGCUGAGGAGCGAAAGCGUGGGUAGCAAACAGG